rnacentral:tRNA from 1 species
CAGUAAGUAGUUUAAUUAAAAUAUUAAUUUUGGGGAUUAAUGAUGAGUUUAUUGCUUUUUACUGA